rnacentral:rRNA from 1 species
UACGUAGGCAGCGAGCGUUGUUCGGAGUUACUGGGCGUAAAGAGUGCGUAGGCGGUGCUCCAAGUCUGGUGUGAAAUCUCCCGGCUUAACCGGGAGGGUGCGCCGGAAACUGGGGUGCUGGAGUGUGGGAGAGGUAAGCGGAAUUCCCGGUGUAGUGGUGAAAUGCGUAGAUAUCGGAAGGAACACCAGUGGCGAAAGCGGCUACCUGGCCCAUUCUUGACGCUGAGGCGCGAAAGCUAGGGGAGCAAACGGG